CUCCGACUCAGACGAGUGCGUUUGUGGCUAGGGGUGAAAGGCCAAUCAAACUCGGAGAUAGCUGGUUCUCCCCGAAAGCUAUUUAGGUAGCGCCUCGGACGAAUACUACUGGGGGUAGAGCACUGUUAAGGCUAGGGGGUCAUCCCGACUUACCAACCCUUUGCAAACUCCGAAUACCAGUAAGUACUAUCCGGGAGACACACGGCGGGUGCUAACGUCCGUCGUGGAGAGGGAAACAACCCAGACCGCCAGCUAAGGUCCCAAAUUACAGCUAAGUGGGAAACGAUGUGGGAAGGCUUAGACAGCUAGGAUGUUGGCUUAGAAGCAGCCAUCAUUUAAAGAAAGCGUAAUAGCUCACUAGUCGAGUCGGCCUGCGCGGAAGAUGUAACGGGGCUAAGUUGUAAACCGAAGCUGCGGCAAUGUUCUUUGAACAUUGGGUAGGGGAGCGUUCUGUAAGCCGUUGAAGGUGUGUUGUAAAGCAUGCUGGAGGUAUCAGAAGUGCGAAUGCUGACAUGAGUAACGACAAGGGGGGUGAAAAACCUCCCCGCCGGAAGACCAAGGGUUCCUGUCCAACGUUAAUCGGGGCAGGGUAAGUCGACCCCUAAGGCGAGGCUGAAAAGCGUAGUCGAUGGGAAACGGGUUAAUAUUCCCGUACUUCUUACAAUUGCGAUGGGGGGACGAGAAGGCUAGGUGGGCCUGGCGACGGUUGUCCAGGUUCAAGUGCGUAGGCUGAGUGUUUAGGUAAAUCCGGACACUCUUAAGGCUGAGACACGACGUCGAGCUACUACGGUAGUGAAGUCAUUGAUGCCAUGCUUCCAGGAAAAGCCUCUAAGCUUCAGAUUGUAAGGAAUCGUACCCCAAACCGACACAGGUGGUCGGGUAGAGAAUACCAAGGCGCUUGAGAGAACUCGGGUGAAGGAACUAGGCAAAAUGGUACCGUAACUUCGGGAGAAGGUACGCUCUUGAUGGUGAAGUCCCUUGCGGAUGGAGCUGACGAGAGUCGCAGAUACCAGGUGGCUGCAACUGUUUAUUAAAAACACAGCACUGUGCAAAAUCGUAAGAUGACGUAUACGGUGUGACGCCUGCCCGGUGCCGGAAGGUUAAUUGAUGGGGUUAGCGCAAGCGAAGCUCUUGAUCGAAGCCCCGGUAAACGGCGGCCGUAACUAUAACGGUCCUAAGGUAGCGAAAUUCCUUGUCGGGUAAGUUCCGACCUGCACGAAUGGCGUAAUGAUGGCCACGCUGUCUCCACCCGAGACUCAGUGAAAUUGAAAUCGCUGUGAAGAAUGCAGUGUACCCGCGGCUAGACGGAAAGACCCCGUGAACCUUUUAAAAAACUACAGCUUGGCACUGAACAUUGAACCUACAUGUGUAGGAUAGGUGGGAGGCUUUGAA
rnacentral:rRNA from 1 species